rnacentral:rRNA from 1 species
ACUGAAUAGAUACCCGGGUAGUCCUGGCCGUAAACGAUGGAUACUAGGUGUCGGGGGUAUCGACCCCCCGGUGCCGCAGCUAAACGCACUAAAGUAUCCCGCCUGGGGAGUACGGCCGCAAGGUUGAAACUCAAAGGAAUUGACGGGGGCCCGCACAAGCGGUGGAGCAUGUUGUUUAAUACGUCACUAACCGUAGAACCUUACCAGGGCUUGACAUCUCCGGACAGUCCGUGAAAGCGGAUCUUCCCCGCAAGGGACUGGAAGACAGGUGUUGCAUGGCUGUCGUCAGCUCGUGUCGUGAAAAUGUUGGGUUAAGUCCCGCAACGAGCGCAACCCUCACCCAUGUUGCCAGCGGGUCAUGCCGGGAACUCUUGGGGAACUGCCUGGGCAACCGGGGAGGAAGGUGAGGACGACGUCAAGUCAGCAUGGCCCUUACGCCCUGGGCUACAAACAUGCUACAAUGGACGGCAGACAAAGGGAUCCGAGGCCGCGAGGCGGAGGCAAUCUCAAAAACUCCGUUCCCAGUUCAGAUCGCAGGCUGCAACUCGCCUG